ACUCCUACGGGAGGCAGCAGUGGGGAAUUUUGGACAAUGGGGGCAACCCUGAUCCAGCCAUGCCGCGUGAGUGAAGAAGGCCUUCGGGUUGUAAAGCUCUUUCGGCCGGAACGAAAUCGCGUACGUGAAUAACGUGCGUGGAUGACGGUACUGGAAGAAGAAGCACCGGCUAACUACGUGCCAGCAGCCGCGGUAAUACGUAGGGUGCGAGCGUUAAUCGGAAUUACUGGGCGUAAAGCGUGCGCAGGCGGUUCUGCAAGUCAGAUGUGAAAUCCCCGGGCUUAACCUGGGAACUGCGUUUGAAACUACGGAGCUAGAGUACGGCAGAGGGGGGKGGAAUUCCACGUGUAGCAGUGAAAUGCGUAGAUAUGUGGAGGAACACCGAUGGCGAAGGCAGCCCCCUGGGCCGAUACUGACGCUCAGSCMCGAAAGCGUGGGGAGCAAACAGGAUUAGAUACCCUGGUAGUCCACGCCCUAAACUAUGUCAACUAGUUGUCGGGAAAGCAAUUUCUUGGUAACGAAGCUAACGCGUGAAGUUGACCGCCUGGGGRGKACGGUCGCAAGAUUAAAACUCAAAUGAAUUGACGGAWWUUU
rnacentral:rRNA from 1 species